UACGUACUGUGCGAACGUUAUUCGGAAUCACUGGGCUUAAAGGGUGCGUAGGCGGCCAAUUAAGGUAGGGUCGUGAAAGGCUUCGGCUCAACCGGAGCAUUGCGCUCUAGACUGAUUGGCUCGAGUGAGAUAGGGGUGUGCGGAACUUCCAGUGGAGCGGUGAAAUGUGUUGAUAUUGGAAGGAACGCCGGUGGCGAAAGCGGCACACUGGGUCUUAACUGACGCUGAGGCACGAAAGCCAGGGGAGCGAACGGGAUAGAA
rnacentral:rRNA from 1 species